CUCAUUAAACAUUCACUGGAUGAAUAAGCACUUUUUAUUUGUUUGUUUCCAGUGCUGUCCUCAGCUCUGGAUAUACAACGGGAAUCCUCACCAGACUGGGAAGGCAAGGAGAAGCACACCCUGACUGUGGCCCACACCUAUGGGGGCUAUUGUUCAUGACAGCGCUUUGGCUCUUUCCGCCAUCCGUUCGAGAGCAUUCAGUUUCCUCGACCCACAGAUGGUAAGUGUCCCCUGGCAACCAAAAGCUUGCAAACUGCCCCCAACUCCCCUCUUCAGCGUUCCCAGCAUCACUAUGGUCUUUUCAGUGA
rnacentral:lncRNA from 1 species